rnacentral:tRNA from 1 species
GCGGGCAUAGUCUAGUGGUUAGGACUGAAGCUUCCCAAGCUUCGAACUCGGGUUCGAAUCCCGGUGCCCGCACCA